rnacentral:rRNA from 1 species
UACGGAGGGUGCAAGCGUUUAUCCGGAUUCACUGGGUUUAAAGGGUGCGUAGGUGGGCAGGUAAGUCAGUGGUGAAAUCUCCGGGCUUAACCCGGAAACUGCCAUUGAUACUAUCUGUCUUGAAUACCGUGGAGGUGAGCGGAAUAUGUCAUGUAGCGGUGAAAUGCUUAGAUAUGACAUAGAACACCAAUUGCGAAGGCAGCUCACUACGCGAAUAUUGACAACUGAGGCACGAAAGCGUGGGGAUCAAACAGG